rnacentral:lncRNA from 1 species
CUUUCGUUCCGGCGGCUCCUAGAGCGUUUGCUUUGUUCCCGAUAUGUCUCGUCCCUCCGGGGUUAACUUGCAGAUGGUUGACCUGACCAAGCAGGACAGCAUGGAGGUUGGAGGGAGAGAAGGGCAUCGAGGGAGAUGAGAACUCACCUACCAUCUGAAAGUCUUAAGGUUUGCUGACAGACAAAACCGGGCUUUGAAUGGAGCGUGAACUCCUGAGGCGAGCAUUGAAUACCAGAUGUGUUCCUGCUGCCCAGCCCCACAAGGCUAUGCAGAAUGCAAAGAAGAGUUACUUUUUGGCUGGGGAGUAGUGGUAUCAUGUGCACUAUUGCUGGAAAUAAUAAAUAUUGGCCUAUCUGUAGAAAUAAAAAUCUGACUAAUGAUAUUUA